rnacentral:siRNA from 1 species
AGGGCGGACAACAAACCGUCA